ensembl:lncRNA
GGAGACUGUCAGGUGUGACCAGGGCAGAGGUGCAAGUCAAUUGGACAGAUCUGUCACUACCAAGGCCCUCGGGAUGCAGGUGACAUGACAUGAGAGUCUCCGUGAUCACUCUAGUAGAGCCUGACAAUCGGUUCCAAGGAGACUGCAAGGUCUACAAAGGGGAUGUAGUUUGAAUUGAGGUGUGUUCCGCCUCCUCAUUAAUUGGCUCCCGAGUGGUGCAGUGGUCUAAGGCACCGCAGUGCAAGAGGUCCCUGGUUCGAAUCCAGGCUGUCUCACAUCCAGUCGAUUGGGAGUCCCAUAGUGCGGCGCACAAUUGGCCCAGCUUUGUCCAAGGUAGGCUGUCAUUGUAAAUAAUAAUUUGUUGUACCUCUAUUGGAUUGGUGUCCCCCCCAUGGGAUGGUUGAGCUAAUGUGAUUGGAAUGAAGUAACAGGAACAUUUUUCACUGUAAACCUACUGUCCAAUUUACAGUAGGUUUACAGUGAAAGAAUACCAUGCUAUUGUUUGAGGAGAGUGCACAGUUAUGAACUUGAAAAUGUAUUAAUAAACCAAUUAGGCACAUUUGGACAGACUUGAUACAACAUUUUGAACAGAAAUGCAAUGGUUCAUUGGAUCUGUGUAAACUUUGCACGUACACUGCUGCCAUCUAGUGACCAAAAUCUAAAUUGUGCCUAAACUGGAAUAAUACAUUGUGGCCUUGCUCUUGCAUUUCAAAGAUGAUGUAUUGUAUUGUCUUUUACCAGAUCUAAUGUGUUAUAUUCUCCUACAUUAAUUUCACAUUUCCACAAACUUCAAAGUGCUUCAGGUCCUGAGCUACAGGCAGUAAGAUUUGGGUAUGUCAUUUUAGGCGAACAUUUUAAAAAAGGAGGUUGUUUUUAACUGACUUGCCUAAGUGAAAUAAAAAAACAAUAACAAAUUCACAUAAUAAGUAGCCCAUUUCACUAUUGUGGACAAUUUAUGUUUGAGGCUUUACUGAGCUGGACAAACGUCUCUCUUCCCUAAUGUUUCCCCAGAUCAAGUAUGAAGACAUUGCGCAUCUCUAGUCAAAACAGGCCUUGCAGAUUUUCUGGCUGGCACCCGUAUGGUUGUUUUCCUUUCAAAUUGGACUUUGACAUUUGUACGUUCCUAUCAAAGUAAGUGGCUUAUGUUCUGUAUAUCGCGUUGUUGAUCCAUACACCGUAUGUAUGGAUCAUAAUGUAUUUACUGUUUUAGUCACAUGUUUUCAAGUACUGGUGACAAAUCAUGCAUUCCAAUUCUUGCAGAGUUUGUAAUGGACACAUAUGAUGUGUGUAAAAUACUUUUUUGAAUAUUUUACUGAUUAUGAUGAGCUAAUUCUAAGCUAUUUGCCGGCUAUGUGUGGCGUAGGGCUGGGCGAUAUGGCCAAAAUAUUAUAUCAUGUUUGUUUGUUUUUUAAAUGGACGGAAUGACGGUAUUUGGCGGUAUUUUUUAAAUUUUUAUAAUAAAAGUUUUACAUUUGCUUUGGGAGUAGUGUGUGACCCUAGGGUGGCAACACAUACAUUCUAAGUGAUUUCAAUGGAUCUUUCUCAAUUCUGAUUGUUUCAUACUGUUCAAUUCAACUUCAACCCAAAAAAAGUAAUCAUUUUAAUCAAUUUCCGCAUUUGAGAUAAUUUCCACACUGUCACGUAGCUCUGCGCGAUAUGGGCAAGUAAUCUGGGCCUUAUUUGUAACCAAAUGUUGCAAUUUGACUUGCGAUUUAGAGCAAAACACUUAGGUUAACUGUUGGAAUCAUGGGAAUAGAAUGUCUAUUCUGAUUAUAUAGUUAGAAUAUAAUAGUGGGCACUUUUAAUACAGUGUUGUUUGACAUGACAGCGAAGGAAAAUGCCAGAGAGGAGUUAUUGUGACAGGGUAGGAACCCAUGUGUUGAUAGGUGUUUCCUAGGGGACCCUAUAAUAUUUGGCUACAUUGAAUGUUUUCUCUUAGGUACUUCAUGUAGUUAACAUAUUCUUGCUUUGCAUUUACCUCUUUAAUUUAGAAGACUGUUGCACAAACAAUGCUGAUUUAGGUCUACACAAAUCACUGGUAUUACCAGGCUGUAUAGCUAAUUAUGCUUGCUCUUACUCAGUACAUUUAUUAGCUAGCUAGCUAGCGAUUAGCAUUAGCGGAAACCAUAUUUAGGAACAACUUGCUAAGAAUAGACAAAUUAGCUGUUUGAAGAUGAAAGAAACACAAGCUAAUAGUAUAAUUAUAGAAUGCUAGUAGAUUUAUAUUAAGAAGCAAAGUGACAACUGCAUCGUUGUCAUCAACAGUGUUGCAUAUGCUGCAUUGACCAUGCAGACUGAACGCAAGUGUCUCGUGAUUGAGGCCUUUAAUGGUGGAGUGGAAAGACAGAAGCCACACCUCAGUAAAAGGAACAUGACAGCCUGCUUGGAGUUUACCAAAAGGCAACAAGAUUCUUUGGUCUGAUGAAACCAAGAUUGAACUCGUAGUCCUGAAUGCCAAGCGUUACACCUGGAGGAAACCUGGCACCAUCCCUACCGUUAAGCAUAGUGGUGGCAGCAUCAUGCUGCCGGGAUGUUUUUCAGUGGCAGGGACUGGGAGACUAGUCAGGAUCGAAGCAAAGAUGAACAGAACAUUUUACAGAGAAAUCCUUAAUGAAACCUGCUCUAGAGCGCCCAGGACCUCAGACUGGGUUGAAGGUUCACCUUCCAACAAGACAACAACCGUAAGCACACAGCCAAGACAACGCAGGACUGACUUUGGGACAAGUCUCUGAAUGUCCUUGAGUGGCCCAACUAGAGCCCAGACAUGAACCCUAUCGAACAUCUCUAGAGAGACAUGAAAAUAGCUUUGCAGCGACGCUCCCCAUCCAACCUGACAGAGCUUGAGAGGAUCUGCCGAGAAGAAUGGGAGAAAGUCCCCAAAUACAGUUGUGCCAAGCUUGUAGCGUCAUACCCAAGAAGACUUGAGGCUGUAAUCGCUGCCAAAGGUGCUUCAACAAAGUACAGAGUAAAGGGUCUGAAUUCUUAUGUAAAUGUGAUUCUAAUGUUCAAUUUAAAAUAUAUAUAUAUAAACUAGUAAAAAUGUGAAACCUGUUUUUGCUUUGUCAUUAUGGGGUAUUGUGUGUAGAUUGAGAUUUUUUUUUUUAAAUCCAUUUUAGAGUAGGGCUGUAACCUACCAAAAUGCAGAAAAUGUCAAGGGGUCUGAAUACUUUCACAAUUUUUCAAGUCUCAUAGCAAAGGGUCUUGAAUACUUAUGUAAAUGUGAUAUUUUCGUUUUAAAAAAAUAUUAAAUUAGCUAACUAUUCUAAACUGUUUUUGCUUUGUCAUUAUGGGAUAUUGAGUGUAGAUCAAAAAUAAAUAUUUAAUCCAUUUUAGAAUAAGAAAGAGGUCUGAAUAUUUUCCAAAUGCACUGUAUGCAGCACUCUAAUUCGUAAUGAAAAUGUAGAUUUAAAAAUCAUUUUAAAUGCAUUUUUUUGGCACAUUUGUGCUUUUAUGGUGGUUAAGACAGGACCCACGAGUGCACUUUGAUAGCCUAUGCAAUAACUUGAUAGCCUAUGCACUGCAUUUUCAGAUGACAAGAUAAGUAUUAUGAUGUUUGGUUUAAAAAUCUUUCAUAUAUAAACACAUUUUGCACAUUGUCACAUCCAUAACGGUACAUUUUCCUCUCUAAAUAUAUAUAUAUAUGACCAUUUUUAUGUUUUCAUUGUGUAGCGAAGCCUUAAUUUCAAAAUGGCUAUGGAUAUUUUACCCUUUAAGAUAAUGCCGCAAUCAGUUGGUUGUAAUUUUGGAUAGAGCAGACAUUUCCAUAUAUUUUUGUUAACUGCAUGUGACAACUCUACCAGUCCUAUUUAUGAUAUAAUUUACAAAGAUUAUACCAAAUUUAAACAUUGUUUUUUGAAAGAUUAGUAUAAUUGAGUUUAGCCGUAUUUUCUGAUGAAUUAAACAGAAAUUGCAACCAGCUUUCUAUUGCUUGUUUUAAAAAUGGCAAUGUUUGAGAUUAAACACAUUUUGUUGAUACCAGUUUAAUCUGUCAGCGCCACUGACUGGCUAGCGCUUAGCUAGCAAACGUUAUCUAUGAUAUUUUUUCACUAUUCAUGCGAUAGCUAGCUAACUAAUGAUUUGCCUAAACACUUAUUUUUAGGUGAAUACAUUGCUGUCUUUUAAUACCAAUGUGCACAUCAAUAUGCUAUUGUCACUGUUCAGUAGCAUGUUAGCUAGCACAACUAAGGUAGCAACAAUAUGCACUGACAUGAUUUAGGCAUAUCUCAAUUUUAAGUUGCUUUUCAUCCCCCCAAGCCUUAUACACCUGAGUCAGGAAGAGUAGACAACUGCCUCUUAAUGAUGACGUCCGCAGUCUAGAUUGGAUAUCGUUAGUUAGUUUGAAUCAAUUUUGUUGAGGCUUGGCUGGAAAAACAUACAGUAUAAUGUGGCUCUCUAGGAACAGUUGGUCACACAUUUAAAGGUACAUUUAUUAAGCCUAAGUCAAAGUUUAUGCUAGCUACAUUGUUUGUUUAUAUAUCAUUCAUACAAGGCAGAAACAUCAUUUGCUUGCUGAAAAAUGUUGAAUGCCAGUUUCAGUGAAAAGCAUAGCAACAUUAAGGAAUCUAUGUAACAGCUGACCCCGUUUUUUCCCAUGCCAAACCCAUCCAUUAGCCACUGAGUCUACCUUAUUAAGAUGCCAAAAUAUAUACUUUUUUCAGCAAUUGUUUUCAGCAAUUGUUUUCAGUAUCUUAAUUUUGUUUGUGUUUUCAGAUUGUUUCAGUGCAUGCAUUCAAAAAGCUUUGGACGAAGGACUUCCACAAGUCCACCAUCUCCAAAGUUCACUCAAAAAGGCAAUAGUUCUGAACUGGGUUUGAUUUACACUGAACACAAAUAUAAAUGCAACAAUUUCAAUGAUUUUUACUGAGUUACUGUUCAUAUAAGGAAAUCAGUCUAUUGAAAUAAAUCCAUUAGGCCCUAAUCUACGGAUUUCACAUGAUUGGGAAGGAGUGCAUCCAUGGGAGGGCAUAGGCCCACCCACUGGGGAGCCAGGCCCAGCCAAUCAGACAACCGCAGGUAAAGAAUCCAGAUGUGGAGGUCCUGGGCUGGCAUGGUUACUUGUGGUCUGUGGUUGUGAGGCCGGUUUGACGGACUGCUAAAUUCUCUAAAAUGUCAUUGAAGGUGGCUUAUGGUAGAGAAAUUAACAUUACAUUCUCUGGCAACAGUUCUGGUAGACAUUCCUGCAGUCAGCAUGCCAAUUGCAUACUCCCUCAAAACCUGAGAUCUGUGGCAUUGUGUUUUGUGACACAACUGCACAUUUCAGAGUGGCCUUUUAUUGUCCCCGGCAUAAGGUGCACCUGUGUAAUCAUGCUGUUUAAUCAGCUUCUUGAUAUUCCGCACCUGUCAGGUGUAUGGAUUACCUUGGCAAAGGAGAAAUACUAACAGGUAUGUAAAUAAAUGUGUGCAGAAAAUUUGAGAGAAAUACCCUUUUUGUGCAUAUGGACCAUUUUUGUUAUCUUUCAUUUCAACUUAUGAAACAUGGGUCCAACUCUUUACAUGUUGUGUUUAUAUUUUUGUUCAGCUUCCUCUCUUUUCAAUAACCUGUAUGGAACACAAUAUGGUCUACUUGGCAUGUAGGUUUCUCAUUUAGAUUUGCGGGAGCGGAAUGGGUAGGGUACAUGCAAAUUAAUCUGUUCCACUGUCAGUUGCAAACACUCAGGCUACUCUCUUGGAUAAGUGCCAAUAAUUACAAAAGUGAAAAAUGUUCUCCGGUCUGUCAUUUGAUUUAGUUUCCCCAAUGGCAAAUAUAAAUCUGGCAAAGACUUCCAUAAUUCUCAUUGAUUUAGUUGAAUACCCGGUCUCAGAAAUUAUGCAAAAUGUCAGAGGUAUGCUGUCAGCAUAGCAACACCGUAAGAUCCCCUGUCUCUCGUUGCUCUGUCUGGAAGAUAAUAAUAAACGUGGAUAUUUUAAGUGUCUACAAUGUUUGUCAUUCUGUGCGGACUUAUGUGCAGCUUGGUGGGGAAACUUGGCAGCCUUAAUUGUACAGUAUUGCAGAGCUCUUUGUCAUAGAAACGUCAGUAGGAGGGACAGGAGAGAAGGGUGCAGACUUGUAAAAAUAUAUAUUAUUUUAAAUAUAACUCGAUUUUAAGAAGCCCAUUUACCAGCAGUUGAAGUGAAGCCUUUGUUUGCAGCAAUUUCUCAAAUGUUUUUUGCAGCGAUACGCCAUCCCAUCUGGUUUGGGCUUAUCAUUUGUUUUUCAACAGGACAAUGACCCAACAUACCUCCAGGCUGUGUAAGGGCUAUUUUACCGAGAAGGAGAGUGAUUGAGUGCUGCAUCAGAUGACCUGGCCUCCAAUCACCAGACCUCAAUCCAAUUUCGAUGGUUUGGGAUGAGUUGGACCACAGAGUGAAGGAAAAGCAGCCCAAAAGUGCUCAGCAUAUUAUGUGGGAACUCCUUCAAGACUGUUGGGAAAAGCAUUCCAGGUGAAGUUGGUUGAGAGAAUGCCAAGAGUGUGCAAAGCUGUCAAGGCAAAGGGUGGAUACUUAUAUAUAUAUAUAUUGAUUUGUUUAACACCUCUUUGGUUUCUACAUGAUUCCAUAUGUGUUAUUUCAUAGGUUUGAUGUCUUCACUAUUAUUCUACAAUGUAGAAAAUAGUAAAAAUAAACUCAUGACUGGUACUGUACCUAAAUGGGUCAAUUAACACAAAAAUCAAACAGCUAAAUGAUCCAUGGUAGGACCAUCUUAAAAAAUUCAAAAUGUUAGCUUAGUAUACACUAUCUACAUUGAUUGAAUACUGGCUAUGGUCAUCAAACUCGUCCUCAACUUCCAUGUUGUAGCAAUUACAGUUUGUCACCUUCACAAUCCAUUCAUUUGUUGCCAACAUACAGGAGUUGAAGGGCUAUUCAAGGGCAAUGUUAACAAAGUCACCAUUUUUGUUUUCUUGAACAGUUUGAACAAAGGGAGCGCUUAUGUCUUUAAGUCAACUCCUCUGAUACAUGCACAAAACAAUGAUUGAAGAUAUGUUUCUCUGGCAACACAGGAAUGAGCUUGAGAAGUAUGCUGCAGCUGAGGAAGUAAAGACAAAGGUAUUGUUAUGGCAACAUGAUGAGUUGAUUAACUGGCAGUAUAAGGCAGUACAUUGUGUUUAAUCCUCUGAUAGUUAAAUUAUAUAUAUUUGUUCACCUAAGAUCAAUUGCAAUUGUUUUCUUUUUGAAAAAUCUUUUCAAUUAUCCUACCAUUUUUCUCUCAGGGCACAGAAAGAUAUUGAAAAUGAAUACAAACAUAAUGCAUUUGGUACUCAUUAGCACAUGAAUGAAAUCAUGUUUUUGAAUAUUUUACCAGCCAUGUUAGAAAUUUCCUUUGGGGGACAUUAUACAUUAACUUUGCAAACAAAUUCCCCAAGCAAUUACACAACCCAGUGAGCACCGUCUGACGCUGACGUCUAAAAGACUCACUGCGGAUGCACCAGUCUUAUAGCAUGUAUUUCGGGCAAUUACAAGGUAACGGAAUUACACCUUGACACAGCUUUUACACUUUAAAAUGUAUGUGUAACGCUCUGGGUGUCUCUGCGUGUGGAGUCAGACGCAGGAAACAGAGAGUGCAAUACUGUACUCACGCAACACUGGGGGCUCAAAACCAAAUGCCCCAAACACGGGGGACGAAAACAGUACAGCAGAAUACACUACCAGGCACAAACACGCUCCUCUACUACAUAACCGAAGGUCACAAUAAUUAAUCCCGCACAAAGAAACAGGCGGGCCAGCUGUCUAAUAAAGCCCAACUAAUGACUCACUAACAGGUGCUAACAAUAAACAUACAAGGAGGGGGAGGAAAGACAAUCAGUGGCAGCUAAUAGGCCGGCGACGACGACCGCCGAGCGCCACCUGACCGGGAAGGGGAGCCACCCUCGGUCGGACUCGUGACAGUAUGCCAAAUAAAAACGACUGAUUUCAUAGUUUUACAAAACAUACAACUCUAUGCACAAUGACUAUUUGUAACAAUGUCCACUGAAAAAGGUACAAAAACUAAAUUAGUGGAAGAACUGUGCAAAUGGAAACUUUAACAGAAUUAUGGUAAGGCCAGGAUGGACUGACCAAAUUUCAACUACUUUACAACGUCCAUGGAUGUUCAAUGCCAGUCGGUGCUCAGUGUGUGAGGAUGCUGGUUACAGUAAAUGGACAGAGAGGGGGCUCAUGGGUAGGUGUCAGUUAACUUAACUUGAGUGAGAAAGGCAGAAAGAGAGGGACAUAGGAAGGGGUUGUCCAGACUCAGACUGUUUUAACACUUGCUUUGACCACCAGACAAAAAGAAAGACAAAGAAAACAGUUAUGAGCUGAACAUAAUGGUAUGCCAGUGGAAGGGAGGACACUAGCAGGUGACCCAACUGUGGUUUGUAACUAUUAGGAUGCAGCUGUGGUAAUUCCGUUACUGAGAUUUGGGUUAUUCCGUUACCAAUUUGUUAACGGAAUUACGAGUUUUAGCCACUUAAUAAUUCAUAAACAAAUUUCACAUCAGUGAAAUCAUUAUAACUAAUUGAUAGGUCUACCUUUACUUGUUACUUCUGUGAAUUUUCAUUAUCCUCCCUCAUUUGGGAGAGAAAUUAGAAAAUAUCUUAAAGAUAUAUGGGGUUUUUGGUAAUGAUAUAACUAAGGCAAUAUUUCUUAAACUUACAGAAGGUAAACAAUUUCUCAAACAAAAUAUAGGUGUUGAUAUUUGUUGGCAGGGGUCUUUACGGCAACAUUGUGUUUAUGUAUUUCUGAUACAUUUGAAUAAUUUUUCUGGUAGAUGUUUUCUAAGAACCCUUUUCCAUCUGUUUAUCCAGAAAUCAAAGCCUUUACUUAUGCCUAAUUUUAAAUAUGGAAAAUGGUUAAAUAAUUAAUUUUAGCCUUCAUUUCCCCAAAUUAUAGACUCUUAGUUUUCAUUUGACACCCAAUUUGACAUGAACGUCACAUGUUGGUGCUCAUGGGUCCUUUUACAUGAAAAUGUCCAUAUCCAAUACCAGUCAAAAGGUUUGGACACACCUAUUCAUUCAAGGUUGUUUUUGUUGUUGUUGUUUUUUGGCUUGAUGACAGCUUUGCACACUCUUGGCAUUCUCUCAACCAGCUUCACCUGGAAUUAUUUUCCAACAGUCUUGAACGAGUUCCCACAUAUUCUGAGCAGUGACGAUUCGUCAUUCAGGGCAGGCGGGACAGAGUCCCACCUGUUUUGAGCACCACACUUUUAGGAAAAUAAAUCAUUUUUUUAAAGUAUUAUUUUUUUGGUGGGGGGGCUUGCCUGUUUUGCUUGUUAUUUUGGCAUUAAUAAGUGUCACAUAUCACUUUGCAAACAAUGUAAAAUAUAAUUGAAUUAAUAAAGCUGCAUACAAACAUGGUCUCUUUUUUGCUUUCUUGAGCCAACCAUAAAGCCAGAGAAUGCCAAACUUAAACAAAGUUUGCCAACAAAGGACCGCUGCUCCACCUUCACAAGUUCAGUCCAAAAAUUGUUUGCUGCUGUAUAAAUGGUGUAAUAUGCAAAGGAGAAAUGUAUAAUGUAGCUAAGAAAGUAAU